rnacentral:rRNA from 1 species
UACAGAGGUCUCAAGCGUUGUUCGGAUUCAUUGGGCGUAAAGGGUGCGUAGGCGGCGCGGUAAGUCGGAUGUGAAAUCUUGGAGCUUAACUCCGAAACUGCAUUCGAUACUGCCGUGCUUGAGGACUGGAGAGGAGACUGGAAUUUACGGUGUAGCGGUGAAAUGCGUAGAUAUCGUAAGGAAGACCAGUGGCGAAGGCGGGUCUCUGGACAGUUCCUGACGCUGAAGCACGAAGGCCAGGGGGAGCAAACGGG